rnacentral:rRNA from 2 species
AGUCGGACGGCAGCACAGAGAAGCUUGCUUCUUGGGUGGCGAGUGGCGAACGGGUGAGUAACAUAUCGGAACGUACCGAGCAGUGGGGGAUAACUAAUCGAAAGAUUAGCUAAUACCGCAUAUAUUCUGAGGAAGAAAGCAGGGGACCAUUUGGCCUUGCGCUGUUUGAGCGGCCGAUAUCUGAUUAGCUAGUUGGUGGGGUAAAGGCCUACCAAGGCGACGAUCAGUAGCGGGUCUGAGAGGAUGAUCCGCCACACUGGGACUGAGACACGGCCCAGACUCCUACGGGAGGCAGCAGUGGGGAAUUUUGGACAAUGGGCGCAAGCCUGAUCCAGCCAUGCCGCGUGUCUGAAGAAGGCCUUCGGGUUGUAAAGGACUUUUGUCAGGGAAGAAAAGGGCGGGGUUAAUACCCCUGUCUGAUGACGGUACCUGAAGAAUAAGCACCGGCUAA